UGGCGACAAGUGAAAUAGAAACCACAGAAACAGAAUAUAUCGAUGAUGAGGGGUUAAACCCUACCGCUAGACCAGUACCAGACAAAGCGUCACACAAACCAUAGAUAAUACCGUAUGAUUGCCGACUCAUGAAUUCUCGACGUUAUGUUGCGAAACGCGUGAAACGGCGAGAAAGGUGGUUGAUCACUUCCGGUCUUCUGUUCUCGCUGUUUGUUUACUAUAGGCCCAGUAGCGAUAUUUUUAUUUAGCGCUUUCUUUAGUAUUAAAUGUGGCAUCAUCUGGUUAAAUGGUAACGAGAAAUAGAAGCAAUGUUCGAGCAGAACGUACUGGUAGUGGUACCCGUCUUUUGUUUGCUGCCUAGGGGAGUGCCAGCUUGUGAAGCAAAUAUAUUUCAUGUUGAUUUAUUGUGAUACUGAUAAAUAAUU